rnacentral:lncRNA from 1 species
CUCCAUCACAACGAAGAACUGCUGAAGAGGUGCAUAGUCAGAGUCCAGUGUCCUGCCCAGAUUAAGCGCUGAUUCGAUCAACCCUUUGAUACUCAGUUUUGCCAUGUUCAUCAGGUUCAUGCGUUCAUUAGCCAUGAGAUAAUUAGGAUGGGCUGAGGCGCCGUCGGGCCCCGGGUAGCUCAGCAGCAGCACGGGCAGCGCGGCCCCGCCGCGGGGCGCCGGGGGUCUCCACGCGCCGUGCGGCGCGGCCGCGCCUCCAUGGCCGGGGUAGAGGAGGAAGAAGGGCGGCGAGGCGGGGCGCGCCUCGUCCUCCUCCUCUGUCACCGCCGCCUCCUCCGGGCCGGGCUCGGCCCGCCGCUCCAUGCCGGGAGGCGUCUCGGCUGCCAUCCCGUCCCGGGAACUUUCCGCCGGCGGCGGCAGGAGAGGCGCCCGCUCCGCCUCCGCCAUCGCCGCCCCGGACCGCCGGCCCCGCCCCGGGCGGGAAGGCGCGCCAGAGCCGGCCCAGCCGCGGGCUUCCCCAGCCGCCCUCGGCCGCGAGCCCCGCGGUGCGAGGGGAGGAGGCGCGCGGCCCCGCCCGCCUUCCGCGUGCGAGGGGCGGAGAGGCGGCGGCCCCCGAGGUGCGGUGCGGCGCUGCGCCCGCCGGAC